rnacentral:rRNA from 1 species
CUGGCUCAGAACGAACGCUGGCGGCAGGCCUAACACAUGCAAGUCGAGCGGUCCCUUCGGGGAUAGCGGCAGACGGGUGAGUAACGCGUGGGAACCUAUCCAUCGGUACGGAAUAGCUCCGGGAAACUGGAAUUAAUACCGCAUACGUCCUACGGGAGAAAGCAGGGGAUCUUCGGACCUUGCGCUAUUGGAUGAGCCUAAGUCAGAUUAGCUAGUUGGUGGGGUAAAGGCCUACCAAGGCGACGAUCCGUAGCUGGUCUGAGAGGAUGAUCAGCCACAUCGGGACUGAGACACGGCCCGAACUCCUACGGGAGGCAGCAGUGGGGAAUAUUGGACAAUGGGGGCAACCCUGAUCCAGCCAUGCCGCGUGUGUGAAGAAGGCUUUCGGGUUGUAAAGCACUUUCAGUAGGGAGGAAAACCUUAUGGCUAAUACCCAUGAGGCUUGACGUUACCUACAGAAGAAGCACCGGCUAACUCCGUGCCAGCAGCCGCGGUAAUACGGAGGGUGCAAGCGUUAAUCGGAAUUACUGGGCGUAAAGCGCGCGUAGGUGGUUUGGUAAGCGAGAUGUGAAAGCCCCGGGCUUAACCUGGGAACGGCAUUUCGAACUGUCAGACUAGAGUGUGGUAGAGGGUAGUGGAAUUUCCUGUGUAGCGGUGAAAUGCGUAGAUAUAGGAAGGAACACCAGUGGCGAAGGCGGCUACCUGGACCAACACUGACACUGAGGCGCGAAAGCGUGGGGAGCAAACAGGAUUAGAUACCCUGGUAGUCCACGCCGUAAACGAUGUCAACUAGCCGUUGGGACUCUUGAAGUCUUAGUGGCGCAGCUAACGCACUAAGUUGACCGCCUGGGGAGUACGGCCGCAAGGUUAAAACUCAAAUGAAUUGACGGGGGCCCGCACAAGCGGUGGAGCAUGUGGUUUAAUUCGACGCAACGCGAAGAACCUUACCUGGCCUUGACAUCCAGAGAACUUUCCAGAGAUGGAUUGGUGCCUUCGGGAACUCUGAGACAGGUGCUGCAUGGCCGUCGUCAGCUCGUGUCGUGAGAUGUUGGGUUAAGUCCCGUAACGAGCGCAACCCCUAUCCCUGGUUGCUAGCAGGUAAUGCUGAGAACUCCAGGGAGACUGCCGGUGACAAACCGGAGGAAGGUGGGGAUGACGUCAGGUCAUCAUGGCCCUUACGGCCAGGGCUACACACGUGCUACAAUGGCGCGUACAGAGGGCUGCCAACUCGCGAGAGUGAGCCAAUCCCUUAAAACGCGUCGUAGUCCGGAUCGGAGUCUGCAACUCGACUCCGUGAAGUCGGAAUCGCUAGUAAUCGCGAAUCAGAAUGUCGCGGUGAAUACGUUCCCGGGCCUUGUACACACCGCCCGUCA